AUUGAACGCUAGCGGGAUGCUUUACACAUGCAAGUCGAACGGAGUGGCGGACGGGUGAGUAAUAUCCCGGAACGUGCCUAGUAGCGGGGGAUAACUACUCGAAAGAGUGGCUAAUACUGCCUACUAUUGGAUCGGGCGAUAUCGGAUUAGCUUGUGGGUGGGGUAAAGGAUCACCAAGGCAACGCUCCGUAGCUGGUUUGAGCGGAGGACAAGCCACACUGGGACUGCGACACGGCCCAGACUCCUACGGAAGGCAGCAGUGGGGAAUUUUGGACGAGGGGGGAAACCCUGAUGCAGCCAUCCCGCGUGUAUGAGGAAGGCCUUCGGGUUGUAAAGUACGUUUAGCAGGGGAGCGGUAUCUGCAGAAUAAGCACCGGCUAACUACGUGCCAGCAGCCGCGGUAAUAC
rnacentral:rRNA from 1 species